rnacentral:sRNA from 6 species
GUAUCUGAGGUCUGACGAGGAUGAGAACCUCCGGGGGGCAAGAGGUUCGACCCGAGCGAAGCGAGAGAACGUUGCGCCAGCAACGGCCCGCAGUGGCAAGUCAUCCUCUGUCACCGGCAG